UUCGGGCGCAUUACUAAUGUUUUGAUUAUGUUAAUAAUUUUGUUAGAUGACCAGCGUGAAUAUACAAAAGCUUGGGGCAUUGAUUGAAAAAUUAUUCACUCUCAUUGGAAAUAAAUAAUAAAAUGGUUUUUAGCCAUUUUUCUUAUGCGAUACAUUCCAUAUAAUCUCCAUAUAAACGGCCGCGGGGCAAGAUGGGUCACCUUCAAUUUUGAGCGUAUUUUUGGAGCAUUCAAAAGUUAUUUAUUUUUUGUUACAAGACUAUCUCAUAAAUGACUUCAAUCAAGCGGAAUGAACGCUCAAAAUUAUAACAUAAAAUUAUGAUAUUUUUUUUAGUGAAAACAUCGAUUUUCAAGUCGCCUUAGGACCACUCAUAUCGUAAAGUUUUUUAUAUUCCAAAUAAAUUUAUAAAAUGUUUACUAGUAGCUUUUGUUUACUCAGUAUGGAUAUGGAGCAUAUAUGAUUGCGGAACAAAUCUUAUAUUUUGACGUUUUUCGUUGAGAAAAUGUGAAUUACUUAAAAGGUGACCCAUCUUGCCCCGCCCCACCCUACU